UCUGACACAGGUGCUGCAUGGCUGUCGUCAGCUCGUGUCGUGAGAUGUUGGGUUAAGUCCGCUAACGAGCGCAACCCUUGCCUUUAGUUUGCCAGCAGUUCGGCUGGGCACUCUAAAGGGAACUGCCGGGUGUUAAACCGGAGGAAGGUGGGGGAGUGACGUCAAGUCCUCAUGGCCUUUAUGACCAGGGCUACACACGUACUACAAUGGCCGAUACAAAGGGCAGCGACACUGCGAGGUGAAGCCAAUCCCGUAAAAUCGGUCUCAGUCCGGAUUGGAGUCUGCAACUCGACUCCAUGAAGUUGGAAUCGCUAGUAAUCGUGGAUCAGCAUGCCACGGUGAAUACGUUCCCGGGCCUU
rnacentral:rRNA from 1 species